UACGUAGGGUGCGGGCGUUAAUCGGAAUUACUGGGCGUAAAGCGUGCGCAGGCGGUUUUGUAAGCCAGAUGUGAAAGCCCCGGGCUUAACCUGGGAAUGGCAUUUGGGACUGCAAGGCUGGAGUGUGGCAGAGGAGACUGGAAUUCCUGGUGUAGCAGUGAAAUGCGUAGAUAUCAGGAGGAAUACCGAUGGCGAAGGCAGGUCUCUGGGCUGACACUGACGCUCAUGCACGAAAGCGUGGGGAGCAAACAGG
rnacentral:rRNA from 1 species